ACGCUCGACACCUACCGGAGGCAGCAGUGGGGAAUAUUGCACAAUGGGGGAAACCCUGAUGCAGCGACGCCGCGUGAAGGAAGAAGUAUCUCGGUAUGUAAACUUCUAUCAGCAGGGAAGAAAGUGACGGUACCUGACUAAGAAGCCCCGGCUAACUACGUACCAGCAGCCGCGGUAAUCUGAGCGGGCUGGCAAGGC
rnacentral:rRNA from 1 species